rnacentral:rRNA from 1 species
GUGGGGAAUCUUGCGCAAUGGGCGAAAGCCUGACGCAGCCAUGCCGCGUGAAUGAUGAGGGUCUUAGGAUUGUAAAAUUCUUUCACCGGGGACGAUAAUGACGGUACCCGGAGAAGAAGCUCCGGCUAACUUCGUGCCAGCAGCCGCGGUAAUACGAAGGGGGCUAGCGUUGCUCGGAAUUACUGGGCGUAAAGGGCGCGUAGGCGGACAGCUUAGUCAGAGGUGAAAGCCCAGGGCUCAACCUUGGAAUUGCCUUUGAUACUGGCUGUCUUGAGUUUGGGAGAGGUGAGUGGAACUCCGAGUGUAGAGGUGAAAUUCGUAGAUAUUCGGAAGAACACCAGUGGCGAAGGCGACUCACUGGCCCAAUACUGACGCUGAGGCGCGAAAGCGUGGGGAGCAAACAGGAUUAGAAACCCUUGUAGUCC